UACAGAGGGGGCAAGCGUUGUUCGGAAUUACUGGGCGUAAAGGGCGCGUAGGCGGCCUGCUAAGUCGAACGUGAAAUCCCAGCUCAACUCGGGAACUGCGUCCGAUACUGGCAGGCUUGAAUCCGGGAGAGGGAUGCGGAAUUCCAGGUGUAGCGGUGAAAUGCGUAGAUAUCUGGAGGAACACCGGUGGCGAAGGCGGCAUCCUGGACCGGCAUUGACGCUGAGGCGCGAAAGCGUGGGGAGCGAACGGG
rnacentral:rRNA from 1 species